rnacentral:SRP_RNA from 1 species
GGAACCAUGCGAGGAGCCGCCGCCUAAUCCCGCCAGGUCCGGAAGGAAGCAACGGUAAGCGGAGGGCUUCUGCGCCUUGGGGGCGCA